rnacentral:snoRNA from 1 species
GGGCCUCAGCUCACCGCCCUCUCUCCUGUGUGGGGAGGUGAAAUCCAGCCCA